rnacentral:rRNA from 1 species
GACAACGCUGGCGGCGUGCUCCUACAGUUUCAGUCGAACGAGUUUCGCUUCUCCUGAAGUGCGCGUGCUUGCACCAACUGAUUUAAGAAUAAACGAGUGGCGGACGGGUGAGUAACACGUGGGUAACCUACCCUAAAGUGGGGGAUAACAUUUGGAAACAGAUGCUAAUACCGCAUCAAUAUUAAGAACCACAUGGUGUCUAAUUGAAAGACGGCGUAAUGCUGUCACUUUUGGAUGGACCCGCGGCGUAUUAGCUAGUUGGUGAGAGUAACGGCUCACCAAGGCGAUGAUACGUAGCCGACCAUGAGAGGGUGAUCGGCACACAUUGGGACUGAGACACGGCCCAAACUCCUACGUGGAGGCAGCAGUAGGGAAUCUUCCACAAUGGACGAAAGUCUGAUGGAGCAACGCCGCGAUGAGCUGAAGCACAGGUUAUUCGGAUCGGUAAAACUCUGUUAUUGGAGAAGAACGUAUUUGGUAGUAACUGGCCAGAUAGUGACGGUAUCCAAUCAGAAAGCCACGGCUAACUACGUGCCAGCAGCCGCGGUAAUACGUGGGUGGCAAGCGUUGUCCGGAUUUAUUGGGCGUAAAGCGAGUGCA